GAUAGGUGGUGCAUGGCCGUUCUUAGUUCGUGGAGUGAUCUGUCUGCUUAAUUGCGUUUCAAAACAACUGAUACACAGAGUCUUGGCACAGUUCAGUUUAAUGGCGUCAGUAUCUUUGAUUUCGACAGUAGUCCAACUCGGUUCGCCAGGGUCUCUUUUGAACGCAACGGACGUGAUCGCAACCCUUUGUUGAGUGAUGUCAGCACUCUACGUCUAUCCUAGCUCGUUGAUCGCAAGUGAGAGUUGGGUGGGCAAACUCAGGGGACAGCUUCAACUAUUCUUCUUCAAACUAGAGGAAGGUUGCGGCAAUAACAGGUCUGUGAUGCCCUCAGAUGUUCUAGGCUGCACACGUGCUACAUUGAUCAGCACAAUGCGAUACAUUUCGAAAGGAAACAUCGGUUUUAAGGUAACGUCGAUUGCCUACCGAUAGCACCUGGUCCUCAGUGGACUGGGCAAUCUCUUCUAAAUGCUGGUAAGGUACCCACACUCGAGCUAUUUAAUCACACGCGGGAGGCACACACGGUUCAAAUCUCAUUUGCGACUGUUGCCGCCAUGACGUAUGC
rnacentral:rRNA from 1 species